UGGAGCUGAAGUCAGUCGAAGAUACCAGCUGGCUGCAACUGUUUAUUAAAAACACAGCACUGUGCAAACACGAAAGUGGACGUAUACGGUGUGACGCCUGCCCGGUGCCGGAAGGUUAAUUGAUGGGGUCAGCGCAAGCGAAGCUCCUGAUCGAAGCCCCGGUAAACGGCGGCCGUAACUAUAACGGUCCUAAGGUAGCGAAAUUCCUUGUCGGGUAAGUUCCGACCUGCACGAAUGGCGUAAUGAUGGCCAGGCUGUCUCCACCCGAGACUCAGUGAAAUUGAACUCGCUGUGAAGAUGCAGUGUACCCGCGGCAAGACGGAAAGACCCCGUGAACCUUUACUAUAGCUUGACACUGAACAUUGAGCCUUGAUGUGUAGGAUAGGUGGGAGGCUUUGAAGCGUGGACGCCAGUCUGCGUGGAGCCGACCUUGAAAUACCACCCUUUAAUGUUUGAUGUUCUAACGUGGACCCGUAAUCCGGGUUGCGGACAGUGUCUGGUGGGUAGUUUGACUGGGGCGGUCUCCUCCUAAAGAGUAACGGAGGAGCACGAAGGUUGGCUAAUCCUGGUCGGACAUCAGGAGGUUAGUGCAAUGGCAUAAGCCAGCUUGACUGCGAGCGUGACGGCGCGAGCAGGUGCGAAAGCAGGUCAUAGUGAUCCGGUGGUUCUGAAUGGAAGGGCCAUCGCUCAACGGAUAAAAGGUACUCCGGGGAUAACAGGCUGAUACCGCCCAAGAGUUCAUAUCGACGGCGGUGUUUGGCACCUCGAUGUCGGCUCAUCACAUCCUGGGGCUGAAGUAGGUCCCAAGGGUAUGGCUGUUCGCCAUUUAAAGUGGUACGCGAGCUGGGUUUAGAACGUCGUGAGACAGUUCGGUCCCUAUCUGCCGUGGGCGCUGGAGAACUGAGGGGGGCUGCUCCUAGUACGAGAGGACCGGAGUGGACGCAUCACUGGUGUUCGGGUUGUCAUGCCAAUGGCACUGCCCGGUAGCUACAUGCGGAAGAGAUAAGUGCUGAAAGCAUCUAAGCACGAAACUUGCCCCGAGAUGAGUUCUCCCUGAGACUUAGAGUCUCCUGAAGGAACGUUGAAGACGACGACGUUGAUAGGCCGGGUGUGUAAGCGCAGCGAUGCGUUGAGCUAACCGGUACUAAUGAACCGUGAGGCUUAACCUUACAACGCCGAAG
rnacentral:rRNA from 1 species